GAGCAGGCGCGCAAUUACCCAAUCCUGACUCAGGGAGGUAGUGACAAGAAAUAACAAUAAACCGGCUUAUGCCGGUUUAAUUGGAAUGAGUACAAUUUAAACAUCUUAACGAGGAACAAUUGGAGGGCAAGUCUGGUGCCAGCAGCCGCGGUAAUUCCAGCUCCAAUAGCGUAUACUAAAGUUGUUGCAGUUAAAAAGCUCGUAGUUGGAUUUCUGUGGGGACGGAGCGGCCGGCCGCACAUCGCGGUUCGAGCUAGCGCUUUCCCUACAUCCUGCCGCGAACCGUGCUACCAUUAGUUUGGUGGCGCCGGGGAUCGGCUCGAUUACUUUGAGAAAAAUAGAGUGUUCAAAGCAGGCCACAUGCCUUGAAUAAGUUAGCAUGGAAUAAUAACUAAGGACUUCGGUUCUAUUUUGUUGGUGUUCGGGACUGAAGUAAUGAUUGAUAGGGACAGUUGGGGCGGUCUGUAUUCCAAAGCGAGAGGUGAAAUUCUUAGACCUUCGGAAGACAAACAGCUGCGAAAGCGUUCCGCAAGGAUGUUCCCUUUGAUCAAGAACGAAAGUUGGGGGAUCGAAGACGAUCAGAUACCGUCGUAGUCUCAACUAUAAACUAUACCAGCUAGGGAUCGGCCAACGUUAUUUUAUACCGACUUGGUCGGCACCCUAUGAGAAAUCAAAGCAUCUGGGUUCCGGGGGGAGUAUGGUCGCAAGGCUGAAACUUAAAGGAAUUGACGGAAGGGCACCACCAGCCGUGGAGCCUGUGGCUUAAUUUGACUCAACACGGGAAAACUUACCAGGUCCAGACAUAGUAAGGAUUGACAGAUUGAUAGCUCUUUCUUGAUUCUGUGGGUGGUGGUGCAUGGCCGUUCUUAGUUGGUGGAGUGAUUUGUCUGGUUAAUUCCGUUAACGAACGAGACCCCAGCCUGCUAAAUAGCGCGCGUGAGCUUUGCUCGCGGCGAGCUUCUUAGAGGGACUAUGAUGCGCGAUAGCACAUGGAAGUUUGGGGCAAUAACAGGUCUGUGAUGCCCUUAGAUGUUCUGGGCCGCACACGGGCUACACUGGCGCCUGCAACGAGCAUAUCAGCUGGCCCGAGAGGGUCUUGGCUAAUCUUUUGAACCGGCGCCGUGCUUGGGAUUGACCUUUGCAAUUGUUGGUCAUGCAACGAGGAAUGCCUUGUAAACGCGAGUCAUCAGCUCGCAUUGAAUACGUCCCUGCCCUUUGUACACACCGCCCGUCGCUCCUACCGAUGAAUGUUCCGAUGAAAUUUUCGGAGAGCACCUGUGAACUUGGCUCUGCCUUGCGAACGGGAGGCUCAAAGUCACUAAAUCUGAAUCUUUUAGGG
rnacentral:rRNA from 1 species